CCGCACUGCUAGCCAACACAAGCACGGGCGCUCGUUCGUAAAGUUGUUGUCUUGUCAACUUGCUGCGCAAAAAGUUGCUCUGCAGGUCAAACGGCUGUCGUCGUCCUUAACCAAUAGAGAUAGUACACGUGUUUACGGAGUAAAAAGCUUUGCGUUGAAAUUAUCAGUGUGUUGCUUUUUCUUCAAGUUGACUCUUUUCAUGUCUCUGCAUUUGGGAAUUGGGAUCGACGUUUUGCUGUGGGAGUUUGAGGUGAAAUGACGAUCCAUUUAUUGCGGUUCUCUGGCAAAAUCUAUAGAAAAAUUUUACUGUCAUGUCUGCCCCAACGUACUUCUUUUCUUUCGCACUGAACAACAAGGCAGGACACUUUAUACGAGUUGAGCAGAACAGAGCUAAAUGGAAUAUGAAAUAUGCGACACCGUCGACCCUUUUUACAUGGGCAUCCAUUCAAUUUCCUGCCAUUCAAACCUCACAGAACUAUCGUUUAUGGUACCAUAUAUUUUUAUGAUACUAUGGCCACACAUUUCAUAAGAAAUUCUUUAUAAGCCCUAUUGACUGAAAGUUCAAGAAUGUCAGCCCUCGAGAUGGAACUUUUGAAGAUGUAAAAUCUAGUAUAAGAAGCCAGGACUAGUAGUAGUUUAUACAAUAUUUCCUCUUUUUUAA